CAAAGGGCUUAAGCACAGGCUAGGUGAAGGUCAGGAGUACUAGAAACGCUUGCUAAAGAACAUUAUGUGCUCCAUUUUUUGAUAUAGCUGAUAAAACAAUAGUUUAUUUCUACAUCUAUAAAACACCCACAGCUUGGCUAAGAAAUUUCAGUGAUCAUGGUUCUAUGUUUCAGAAGGAUAACUCCAGGAUAUAUCAGACUAUUGCAGAUCCAAGCUGCUGGCAAGGUACCCAUCAGUGAAAACGACAGAAUAAUGGAAUGUUCAGCCAUUUUACUAGCCAUGAGUGGGAUCUGGAUUUCCAGCUACAGCGUUUGCCAGAUGAUUAAAUGGAACUAAUCGGUUAGAUAUAAGAGAUAGAUGGCAAAAGCCAAUUUCAUUGUAGCUGUACUAUGUUUAUACAUAUAUCUCUUACAUGAUGAUGUGACGUGGUUUUCCAGAGUGCAUUGAUUUGUCUGACAUGAAGAUUGCAUGUAGCCAGUCUGCAAUUAGAGUAGUGUUCCCUCUCCCUUAUUGCACUGGCCACUUAAUAACUAGUAACGUUCCUUGGAAAAUGUGUAUUAAAUCAUAUGGAUACAUGUAAAUGUUGCAUUUUACUACCCUCUUAACAGGCCUUGCAAAAGUAUACACCCCCUAGUACUUUUUCACAUUUUGUUGUGCUACUACCUGGAAUUAAAAUAGAUUUAUCUAGGGGUUUGUACCACUUGAAUUACACAACAUAUAUCCUCGAUUGCUAUUUCUGUAAAUCAAAUUGUAAAAAAUACCAUUAAAAUCCAUGCAACACUGUA